rnacentral:rRNA from 1 species
UCGCAUCUGUGCAUGCAGCAUAUCAAUAAGCGGAGGAAAAGAAACUAACAAGGAUUCCCCUAGUAACGGCGAGUGAAGCGGGAAGAGCUCAAAUUUGAAAUCUUAAAGGGUUUCCCUUUACGAAUUGUAGUUUAAAGAAGUGUUUUCUGUUGAGGUUUUGGUAAAAGUUCUUUGGAAUAGGACAUCAUAGAGGGUGAGAAUCCCGUAUUUGACCUUUACUUUCAACUUUGUGAUACACUUUCAAAGAGUCGGAUUGUUUGGGAAUGCAGUCCAAAAUGGGUGGUAAAUUUCAUCUAAAGCUAAAUAUUAGGCGAGAGACCGAUAGCGAACAAGUACCGUGAGGGAAAGAUGAAAAGAACUUUGAAAAGAGAGUUAAACAGUACGUGAAAUUGUCAAAAGGGAAGCGUUUGACACCAGUGUUGUUUUUCUGAAAAUCAAUUAAAGAACUGUUUAUGCUAAGUCUGUUUAGACUUUAUCAGCUAACUGUUUAGUUUUGAGCUUUUCUUUAAUGCACUUUUCAGUUAACGAAGUCAACAUCAAUUUCUUUUGCUGUAAAAAAGCUUGAGGAAGGUGGCUUGAGAUUCGUCUUAAGUGUUUAUAGCCUCUUGCCUAUGCAGUCGGAGAGAUCGAGGUCUGCAGCGUAGAUCCUUCGGGGCUAAAUGCAUUUGUGCUAAGUUAUAACAUUUUAUAGACAACUUGUUGACUAUGAUUUGUCUUGUAGCUUACUCGCUUAUGUUAUUUUACCUACGCUUAGGAUGUUGACAGCAGUAUAGACUGU